GCACGGUAUGUAAACAGCGUUGGAAAAAGAAAAAAAAACAAUUGAUGGCGUUCCCGCGAAGGGUAGUUGUCAUUCCUAAAAUCCAAAGCGGAAAAUGAAAAACGUGAGGGAGAAGGAGAGCAGUGGUAGUGGUGGUAGUAGAACAAGUGGAAGUAGAAUUUGAAGUGGUUUUUAUGUUGUUGAAUUCUUCUUUCUUUCUUAUUAUUAGGGUUGCGAGGCGAGGUGACGCUUGGCUUGGCUUUGCGGAAAUCUUCUUCUCUUCCGUUGGAAUCGGAAAAUUCUCUGUUGUCGAUUAUCAAGUGUUGAAGCAUGUCUGUCGAUCCUAGUGCACCCAUGACUUUUGUGGAUGAGGAUGCUUCUUCUGGCUCCGGAGAUGAUGUUAACACACUAGAUGGAAAGAAGCGUCAGUCUGGAAUGCCAUCUAGUUCAGGUCGUCGGAAGAGAAGCCGCAAGGCUACAGGUGAUGCUAUAGUAGACGCCAUGCUAGAAAUUGCUGCUGCUUCAAAAAUGAGGGCAGCGGCAAUUAUGAAGAAUGAGGAUCGGUUUUCCAUAAGCAAAUGCAUAAAGGUUUUGGAUGAGAUGCAAGAUAUGUCAGCUGGCUUGGAUGAUUUCGACUUAGAAUUGGAUGAGAUGGAAUUAAUUGCAGCAGCUGCUGGGUACUAUUACUAUAAAAGUAUAACUAGGCAACCUGUUCAUAGUUUGUCACCUCGUGGAGGAUGUGGGUUCAUGACUGAGGUACUUAAUGGUCAUGAUGAACUCUGUCGAGAGAUGUUUCGGAUGGAUAAACAUGUUUUUCACAAGUUGAGUGACAUUCUUCGUCAAAGAGGCAUGCUACGUGAUACUGCUGGUGUUAUGAUAGAGGAGCAACUGGCUAUUUUUCUGAAUAUUGUUGGCCAUAAUGAGCGCAAUAGAGUAAUUCAAGAACGGUUUCAACACUCGGGUGAAACCAUUAGCCGGCAUUUCAAUAAUGUGUUGAAGGCAAUCAAGUCAUUGUCACGUGAAUUCUUACAACCACCACCCUUCACUACCCAUCAAGAAAUCCUUAAAAAUCACAGGUUUUAUCCAUAUUUUCAGGAUUGCAUUGGGGUUAUUGAUGGAAUGCACAUUCCUGCCCAUCUCCCAGCUAAAGAUCAAUCCCGUUUCCGUAACCGGAAUGGUGUCCUCUCACAAAAUGUGUUGGCAGCUUGCACAUUCGACCUAAAGUUUAUAUUUAUUUAUCCUGGUUGGGAAGGUUCAGCUGCUGAUUCACGUGUAUUAAGGGCGGUCCUCGAUGAUCCUGAUCAAAAUUUCCCACAGAUUCCAGAAGGCAAAUAUUAUCUUGUUGACACGGGAUACUCAAAUAUGGAAGGAUUUCUUGCUCCAUAUCAAGGAGUGCGGUAUCACCUUCAUGAAUAUAGAGGUGCCAAUCAGCUACCCAGAAAUGCAAAGGAGCUAUUUAAUCAUAGGCAUUCAUCUCUAAGGAAUGUCAUCCAGAAGUCUUUUCAUGUGUUAAAGACUCGGUUUCCUAUUCUCAAACUUGCUCCUCAAUAUGCCUUUCACAUUCAAAGGGAUAUAGUUAUCGCUGCAUGUGUUAUACAUAAUUACAUCCGCUAUGAGGAAGAAAAGGAUUGGUUGUUUUCUAGCAUGGAAGGGAUGACAGUAGAUGAAUUGCCUGAUCUUGAUGAACAGCCUGAUAUCCACUUGGUUUCUACAGUGCAAGAACAAGUUGCCUUCUCAAUGAGAGAUUCAAUUGCAGCGGCAAUGUGGGAUGACUUCAUAAAUAAAUGGGAAGAGUGGUGAGUGUUUGCAGCAGCAGAAUCAAUCAAUGGUGCGUCCUUUGAAAAAUUUUGUGAUGGCUUACAAGUUUGUGGAUACUGGAUUUAAUGGGCAAGGCCUUGUGAUAUCCUUGUUGGACUGAAAACGUUGACUUAUCACUUUCUAUAUCCGUAUAUAUAUAUAUAUAUAUAUAUAUAUAUAUAUAUAUAUAUAUAUAUUUCAUUUAAUCUACUAUCUUCUUCUCAACACUUUUUGCUGACAAAAGGAAAGAAAGAUGAUGUUCUUGUCAUGUGUUGUACUGCUGUUGCUGCUACGCUGCAAACAAUAAAGCACUGGAAGAUGCUGCCACACAAGUAGAACUUUCAUUGAUGCCUGUUGGGUUAGGACAUAUUAUUUUGUUGGAAAGAUGGUUUGAGAAGCAUACAUAGCUGGUUGCUCUUGAUUGUUCGAUGGAGUUCCAAACCAUGUAUCCAUCAAACUACCCUGCUUCGAUCUUUAUGUGGAGAUACCUCAUUCAUGGUAUGGCAUCAACGAGUGGUUUGGCAAGGAAAGGUGUGGAACUGGUUUGGUGGCCUGAAAGAGCGGGACCAACUGGCAUGCCAUGCGGCGAUGUCAAGGUGUACUUAGAGCCCGUGUGGGCGUAGGGUGGGUAAGCAAUCCCAAAUUCCCAAUCGCAAUCACUCACUUUCCAGAUAGGAGUGAUAAUCUGAUGCAUUGGUGUGGUGGAAGCAACCAACAACCAGUCAGCUUUCAUUUUAUUAUUCAAUAAAUGGUAGAGGCUGAGGGUCUUAAGGCAUUCUAACUUGCUUCAUUUAGGGAUCAAUUGACUUGGUGUUGGAUUUGAACUUCAGACUUCUUCAUUGCUCAACCCCUUUCUUUUUCUUUUUUUUGGUUUUUGUUUGAGUUUAUGAGUUUGUUUGCCUUCCUUUCAGAUUUUCAAACUGUCCUCAUAGCCGACUACCUUUGUUUUAAAUAACUCAUAACCCUGACAAGUCAGAGGUCUUAAGCAUCAUAUAGUAAUAACAGUAAUUGAUUAUUGAUUAUUAUAAGUAAAACCUUUAUUACAUAAUUAUUUUA